CUCAAGAUGGCUGUGCCUGUCAGCUGCAUGGAGCUUCGUUCAAGUAUUUUCUGAGCCUGAUGGAUUUACAGUGAUCUUCAGUGGUCUGGGGAAUAACGCUGGUGGAACCAUGCACUGGAAUGACACACGCCCGGCACAUUUCAGGAUACUAAAAGUGGUUUUAAGGGAGGCUGUGGCUGAAUGCCUCAUGGAUUCUUACAGCUUGGAUGUCCAUGGGGGACGAAGGACUGCAGCUGGCUGAGAGGGUUGAGAUCUCUGUUUACUUAGAUCUCUGCCAACUUCCUUUGGGUCUCCCUAUGGAAUGUAAGACCCCGACUCUUCCUGGUGAAGCAUCUGAUGCACGUUCCAUCCGGCGCUCAGCUGGGCUUGAGCUGACCAUACUCCCUGGAGCCUUCUCCCGAGGUGCGCGGGUGACCUUGGCACAUACAGCCAUCAUGAUGGUACUUUAAGUGGAGGCUGAAUCAUCUCCCCUUUGAGCUGCUUGGCACGUGGCUCCCUUGGUGUUCCCCUUUUACUGCCAGGACACUGAGAUUUGGAGAGAGUCUCACUCUGUGGUCCAGGCUGAAGUACAGUGGCAUGAUCCCAGGUCACUGCAACCCCCACCUCCCGGGUUCAAGUGAUCCUCCUGCCUCAGCCUCCCGAGUAGCUGGUAUUACAGGCGUGUGCCACAAAGCCUGGCUAAGUUUUGUAUUUUUAGUAGAGACGGGGUUUCACCAUGUUGGCCAGGUUGGUCUCGAACUCCUGACCUCAAGUGAUCCACUCACUUUGGCCUUUCAACGUGCUGGGAUUACAGGCGAGAGUCACCGCACCCGGACGACUCUGACAUUUUUGAAGAGUCCAGAAUCCUGUUACACCUGGGAUUUAGGCACUUUCAAUCUGAAAAAAUACAUAUCCUUUCAGCACUCUGGACGGACUUGAGAACUGUCCUUACGUGACCUAAAGCUGGAGUAUUUUGAGAUUGGAGAAUUAAGAGCCAGUCUUGGUGCUCUGUGUUCACCUGGUUCAUCUGAGGAGCUGCAUCUACCCUGCCCAUGCCAUAGAUCCUGCCCUGUUUGCUUCUCCUGUUGCUGCUAGUGGACAUGAGAAGGACAGAAUAACGGGCUCCCAGAUUCACAAGCCCCACCAAGAGGAUCACCCCAGGAACGCUUGGAGGCUGAGGAGUUCACUGAGGCUACUGCAUCUUGAGACUCAGGAUGAAGACCCAGCUUGGGGCUGUCAAAGAGGCCUGAAGAGGCAGAACACCCCAGAGGAGCCUGGGGCCACCACCCAGCAUCACUGUGGGAAAACGGCAGCAGGAAAUGUCCUCUCGCCUGCGUGCUCCACCUCGGUCCACGCCUUCCCUCCUUCUGGAAGCCUUGCCUGACCACUGGCCUGCCCCUUCUAUGGGAAUCACUACUGACCUUGCAGCUUAUUAUAGACUUAUAUGUUUUUUGCAUGUCUGACACCCAUGACUCCACCUGGACCUUAUGGCUCCACCCAGAAGCAAUUCAGCCCAACAGGAGGACAGCUUCAACCCAUUACGAUUUCAUCUCUGCCCCAACCACUCAGCAGCAAGCACCUGUUACCUGUCCACCCCCACCCCUUCCCCCAAACUGCCUUUGAAAAAUCCCUAACCUAUGAGCUUUGAAUAAGAUGAGUACGAACUUCAUCGCCCACGUGGCGUGGCCGGCCUCGUGUCUAUUAAAUUCUUUUUCUACUA
ensembl:lncRNA PVT1 Pvt1 oncogene